UCUGCACAUUACAUCAAUAUAAUAAUAUAAUUUAAAAAUAACAAUAAGUAUAAAAUAUGAAAUCUCAUAUUAAAUAUCCAAAACAACUCAAAGAUCUAUAUAAACAUAUAUCAAACAUAUGUCUUGAUAAAAGAGGUGUCAUCAUAUUUCACUAAGUGAAACUUUUUAUUCAGCAUUAGUUUCAUGUCUUGUCAUCUAUUUCUUUUAUUACAUAUCUAAUUUUUUUAAUUUUUUUUUUGACUUUAGACUAAUAAUCAAGUUCAUACCUCAAUCUCUAUCUGAUCAAAAUUUCAUACAUAAACCUGUGGAGGCUGUUCCAUGCAUGAGCUGCUGGUAGGCUGUCCUAGGUAUGAGAUCCUGGCUGGCUAUCCCAUGUAUAAAUCUGUAGAGGCUGUCUCAGAUAUAAGCUCCUAACGGAUUAUUCUAGACAUAAGCUUCUGACUGACUGUCUCAUAUAUAAGCAUGUGAAGAUUAUUCCAAGUAUAAACUCUAGUGGCUAUCCCAGACAUAAACUCCUAACUGGUUGUCCUAUGUAUAAGCCUAUAGAAGCUGUGAGGUAUAGCUCUUGGCUGGCUAAUCCAGGCAUAAACUUCUGAAGGCUGCUCCAAGCAUAAGCUCCUAGCAGACUGUCCUAUAUAUAAGCUCAUG
rnacentral:lncRNA from 1 species